rnacentral:rRNA from 1 species
GACGUAGGGGGCCAGCGUUGUUCGGAAUUACUGGGUGUAAAGGGUUCGUAGGCGGUGCGGCAAGUCGGGAGUGAAAUCUCUGGGCUCAACCCCAGAGGCUGCUUCCGAAACUGCUGUGCUUGAGUGUGGGAGAGGCGCGUGGAAUUGCAGGUGUAGCGGUGAAAUGCGUAGAUAUCUGCAGGAACACCCGUGGCGAAAGCGGCGCGCUGGACCACUACUGACGCUGAAGAACGAAAGCUAGGGGAGCAAACAGG